ACAAACUCCGAAUGCCAAUUAAUUUAACUUGGGAGUCAGAACAUGGGUGAUAAGGUCCGUGUUCGAAAGGGAAACAGCCCAGACCACCAGCUAAGGUCCCAAAAUAUAUGUUAAGUGGAAAAGGAUGUGGCGUUGCCCAGACAACUAGGAUGUUGGCUUAGAAGCAGCCAUCAUUUAAAGAGUGCGUAAUAGCUCACUAGUCGAGUGACACUGCGCCGAAAAUGUACCGGGGCUAAACAUAUUACCGAAGCUGUGGAUUGUCCUUUGGACAAUGGUAGGAGAGCGUUCUAAGGGCGUUGAAGCAUGAUCGUAAGGACAUGUGGAGCGCUUAGAAGUGAGAAUGCCGGUGUGAGUAGCGAAAGACGGGUGAGAAUCCCGUCCACCGAUUGACUAAGGUUUCCAGAGGAAGGCUCGUCCGCUCUGGGUUAGUCGGGUCCUAAGCUGAGGCCGACAGGCGUAGGCGAUGGAUAACAGGUUGAUAUUCCUGUACCACCUAUAAUCGUUUUAAUCGAUGGGGGGACGCAGUAGGAUAGGCGAAGCGUGCGAUUGGAUUGCACGUCUAAGCAGUAAGGCUGAGUAUUAGG
rnacentral:rRNA from 1 species